rnacentral:rRNA from 1 species
UACGUAGGUGGCAAGCGUUGUCCGGAUUUACUGGGCGUAAAGAGCGCGCAGGCGGUCGUUCAAGUCGCGUGUGAAAGCCCCCGGCUCAACUGGGGAGGGUCACGCGAUACUGAUCGACUCGAAGGCAGGAGAGGGAAGUGGAAUUCCCGGUGUAGUGGUGAAAUGCGUAGAUAUCUGGAGGAAUACCGGUGGCGAAGGCGGCAUCCUGGACCGACAUUGACGCUGAACGGCGAAAGCUAGGGGAGCAAACGGG